rnacentral:rRNA from 1 species
AUGAGUCGCAUUAGUUGGAACCGUCGGGGGCUUGGGAACCCUGAGACAGUCCGUGAGCUUCGUAGUAUUGUGAGGCUGGAAGGGCCCUCUCUGCUCUUUGUUACAUAAACGAAGAUAAAAGCAAAAAGAGUAGAGGACUUGAAGUUUUUGUUAGGUUUCGGAGGUUGUUUUGCUGUGGACAGUGUUGGCCUUAGUGGCGGCAUUGGUCUUUUUUGGUCUAGUGAUGUUUCAGUAGAACUGAAAAGCUAUGGUCAAUGUCAUAUUGAUGUUUUGGUUAGUAAUAAAAGUCCUGGUUCUCCAACUUGGAGGUUCACAGGUUUUUACGGAUCACCGUGUGCUGAAGAUAGAAGUGAUAGCUGGCGGUUAUUGUGUACUCUUUAUAACGUGCCACAUGCUGCAUGGAUGUGCAUGGGGGAUUUUAAUGAGACUAUGUUCUCCAAUGAACAUUUCAGCAGAGCUGUUCGCCCUGAGCGACAGAUGCAAGCUUUUCGAGAGGUUGUGGACGAUCUUUCCUUCCAGGACUUGGGUUGGUCAGGUACAUCGUACACUUGGGAUAACCACCAAGCUGGAGAGGACAAUGUGAAAGCAAGACUCGACCGUGCCUUUGCUAAUGAGGUGUUCUGA